CCCAGGCAGGUCACAACUGAGUGUGUUUCCUUAUGCUAAACCAAGAUGUCAGCGGGGCUAACUUCUGGUCUGGUUUUAGAUGCCGACCCUGAGGAAGGACAAAAAGGAAAGAUUUAGUGCAGUUGAGCAAGAUGCAAACCUUGUGGGCAUGAUGGUGAGGUUACAGCAGGGCAGCAGGAGACACAGCAGAAAGCAACGCAGACACUUGAGUCCAGGAAAUGGAAUCUUAAAGGCGAAGUUUCAUUAUGAUUUUCGAAAAUGAAGGAAGUCACAUCUAUGCAAAUAAAGUUUGUAGACUUGUGACUAAACUUGU